AGUCAUAUGCUUGUCUCAAAGAUUAAGCCAUGCAUGUCUCAGUACAAGCCGAAUUAAGGUGAAACCGCGAAAGGCUCAUUAAAUCAGUUAUGGUUCCUUAGAUCGUACCCACAUUUACUUGGAUAACUGUGGUAAUUCUAGAGCUAAUACAUGCAAACAGAGCUCCGACCGGAGACGGAAGGAGCGCUUUUAUUAGAUCAAAACUAAUCGGCGGCGGGUUCGCCCGUUCGUCGUACACCUUGGUGAAUCUGAAUAACUUUCUGCUGAUCGCAUGGUCUCGCACCGGCGACGCAUCUUUCAAAUGUCUGCCUUAUCAACUGUCGAUGGUAGGUUCUGCGCCUACCAUGGUUGUAACGGGUAACGGGGAAUCAGGGUUCGAUUCCGGAGAGGGAGCCUGAGAAACGGCUACCACAUCCAAGGAAGGCAGCAGGCGCGCAAAUUACCCACUCCCGGCACGGGGAGGUAGUGACGAAAAAUAACGAUACGGGACUCAUCCGAGGCCCCGUAAUCGGAAUGAGUACACUCUAAACCCUUUAACGAGGAUCAAUUGGAGGGCAAGUCUGGUGCCAGCAGCCGCGGUAAUUCCAGCUCCAAUAGCGUAU
rnacentral:rRNA from 14 species